CACCAGACUCCUACGGGAGGCAGCAGUGGGGAGUAUUGCACAAUGGGGGAAACCCUGAUGCAGCGACGCCGCGUGAGCGAUGAAGUAUUUCGGUAUGUAAAGCUCUAUCAGCAGGGAAGAAAAUGACGGUACCUGACUAAGAAGCCCUGGCUAACUACGUGCCAGCAGCCGCGGUAAUACGUAGGGGGCAAGCGUUAUCCGGAUUUACUGGGUGUAAAGGGAGCGUAGACGGUCCUGCAAGCCAGAUGUGAAAGCCCGGGGCCCAACCCCGGGACUGCCCUUGGAACUGCAUGGCUGGAGUGCGGGAGGGGCAGGCGGAAUUCCUGGUGUAGCGGUGAAAUGCGUAGAUAUCAGGAGGAACACCGGCGGCGAAGGCGGCCUGCUGGACCGCGACUGACGUUGAGGCCCGAAAGCGUGGGGAGCAAACAGGAUUAGAUACCCGGGUA
rnacentral:rRNA from 1 species